UAAAAAUUUAUGAUUUUGAAAAUUUAUUUUUAAUUUAUUUUACAUGUAAAUUUUAGUAUUAAUUUUUAAUUAUUUUAAUAAUAAUAAUUUAAUUAGCAGUAAUUAAAAUUAAAAAUUUAAGAAAUUAAGAUUUAGUAAUAUUAAAAUUAAUAACAAAUUUUGUGCCAGCAGUUGCGGUUAUACAAAAAUUAAGAUGAAUUUUUUUGGUUAUAGUUAAUAUAUUAUUUUUAAUUUAAAUAUUAAAUUAUUAGGUGAAAUUUUAAUUUAAUUAAAAUUUAUAUUUUAUUUAUGAUCUAAUAAAUUUAAAUAUUAAACUAGGAUUAGAUACCCUAUUAUUUUAAAUUUUAUAAAAAAACUAAAAUAGUAAAUAAGUAAUUAUUGGAACUUAAAUAAUUUGGCGGUAAUUUAGUUCAUUUAGAGGAAUCUGUUUAAUAAUUGAUAUUCCACGAAUAAAUUUACUUAAUUUAAUAUUUUGUAUAUCGUUGUUAAAAAAAUAUUUUUAAAUAAAAAUAAUAUUUUAAAUUUAAAAUAGAAAUUAAUUCAAAUCAAGAUGCAGAUUAUAAUUAAGAAUAUAAUGGAUUACAAUAAAUUUAUUUAAAUGAAUUUUUUUUUGUAAUAAUUAGUUGAAAGUGGAUUUAAAUGUAAUUUUAAUUAAUUUAUUAAAAUGAUUAAAAAUUGAAUUAUGUACAUAUUGCCCGUCGCUUUCAUUUAAAAAUUGGAAUAAGUCGUAACAAAGUAGAAGUACUGGAAAGUGUUUCUAGAAAGA
rnacentral:ncRNA from 1 species